UACGGAAGGCAGCAGUGGGGAAUAUUGCACAAUGGGCGCAAGCCUGAUGCAGCCAUGCCGCGUGUAUGAAAAAGGCCUUCGGGUUGUAAAGUACUUUCAGUCGUGAGGAAGGUGUUAAGGUUAAUAACCUUAGCAAUUGACGUUAGCGACAGAAGAAGCACCGGCUAACUCCGUGCCAGCAGCCGCGGUAAUACGGAGGGUGCGAGCGUUAAUCGGAAUUACUGGGCGUAAAGGGCACGCAGGCGGUUAAUUAAGUUGGAUGUGAAAUCCCCGGGCUUAACCUGGGAAUGGCAUUCAAGACUGGUUAGCUAGAGUCUUGUAGAGGGGGUAGAAUUCCAUGUGUAGCGGUGAAAUGCGUAGAGAUGUGGAGGAAUACCGGUGGCGAAGGCGGGCCCCCUGGGACAAAGACUGACGCUCAUGUGCGAAAGCGUGGGGAGCAAACAGGGAUUAGAUACC
rnacentral:rRNA from 1 species